rnacentral:rRNA from 1 species
UACGUAGGGGGCAAGCGUUUGUCCGGAUUUAUUGGGCGUAAAGAGCUUGUAGGCGGUUUGUCGCGUCUGCUGUGAAAAUCCGGGGCUCAACCCCGGACUUGCAGUGGGUACGGGCAGACUAGAGUGUGGUAGGGGAGACUGGAAUUCCUGGUGUAGCGGUGAAAUGCGCAGAUAUCAGGAGGAACACCGAUGGCGAAGGCAGUUCUCUGGGCCGUAACUGACGCUGAGGAGCGAAAGCGUGGGGAGCGAACAGG